rnacentral:rRNA from 1 species
CCUACGGGAGGCAGCAGUGGGGAAUAUUGCACAAUGGGGGAAACCCUGAUGCAGCGACGCCGCGUGAGCGAAGAAGUAUUUCGGUAUGUAAAGCUCUAUCAGCAGGGAAGAAAAUGACGGUACCUGACUAAGAAGCCCCGGCUAACUACGUGCCAGCAGCCGCGGUAAUACGUAGGGGGCAAGCGUUAUCCGGAUUUACUGGGUGUAAAGGGAGCGUAGACGGCGUAUCAAGUCUGAUGUGAAAGGCAGGGGCUCAACCCCUGGACUGCAUUGGAAACUGGUAUGCUUGAGUGCCGGAGGGGUAA